rnacentral:lncRNA from 1 species
CAAAUGGACCUUUCCCAGGGGUUGCCUAAGACCAUCGGAAAACAAAAGGUCAAGACUGACUCUUAGGACUGAGAAGGCCUCCAGACUACUUAAGCAUGAGAGUCGGGAGAAAGUAAAUAGAAAAAGAAAGACAAGCAUCGUUUUAGAAGAAGAGAACAUUGGCUCCAAUGUAUCCCUGGAAAUGCAAAACAAAAGACAAGGGAUUC